AUACACACUUCGAGCCCACGAGACGAAAUGCAAGUCCGAAUAGUGGCGGACGGGUGAGUAAUGUCUGGGAAACUGCCUGAUGGAGGGGGAUAACUACUGGAAACGGUAGCUAAUACCGCAUACCAUCGGAUGUGCCCAGAUGGGAUUAGCUAGUAGGUGGGGUAACGGCUCACCUAGGCGACGAUCCCUAGCUGGUCUGAGAGGAUGACCCGCCACACUGGAACUGAGAAACGGUCCAGAAUCCUAGGGGAGGCAGCAGUGGGGAAGAUUGCACAAUGGGCGAAAGACUGAGGAAUCCAUGCCGCGUGUAUGAAGAAGGCCUUCGGGUGGUAAAGUACUUUCAGCGGGGAGGCGUUACCCGCAGAAGAAGCACCGGCUAACUCCGUGCCAGCCGCCGCGGUAAUAC
rnacentral:rRNA from 1 species